ACGUAGGGCGCAAGCGUUGUCCGGAAUUAUUGGGCGUGAAGAGCUCGUAGGCGGUCUGUCGCGUCGGAUGUGAAAACUCGGGGCUCAACCCCGAGCCUGCAUACGAUACGGGCAGACUUGAGUUCGGCAGGGGAGACUGGAAUUCCUGGUGUAGCGGUGAAAUGCGCAGAUAUCAGGAGGAACACCGGUGGCGAAGGCGGUCUGCUGGGCAGUAGCUGACACUGAGGCGCGACAGCGUGGGGAGCAAACAGGA
rnacentral:rRNA from 1 species